UACGAAGGGGGCUAGCGUUGUUCGGAAUUACUGGGCGUAAAGCGUGCGUAGACGGUUAUUUAAGUCAGGUGUGAAAGCCCAGGGCUCAACCUUGGAAUUGCAUUUGAGACUGAAUAGCUAGGGUGCGGAAGAGGGAAGCGGAAUUUCCGGUGUAGCGGUGAAAUGCGUAGAUAUCGGGAGGAACACCAGUGGCGAAGGCGACUUCCUGGCCUGUUCUUGACGCUGAGGCGCGAAAGCUAGGGGAGCAAACGGG
rnacentral:rRNA from 1 species